CGAAGAAAGCGCCGCCGCUUCACCCGCGUCGCCUCCUCCGCCGCCAUCCCUUUUCCUCCCUCUAACUCCCUAAUUCCGCCGAGCUUCUUUGCCGCAACCACCGUUCGUCGUCCAAGUUUCAUCGUCUGUUGGAUCCAGCGCCUCACAGGUUCUGAUCGAUUCCGCUGGCCAUCGGUGCUUCCUCCACAUCCAGACCAUGACCCAUCAACUCUUGGACUGAUCCCAUAUCGACCUGCACAACAAGGGGAUAGCUUUAGCAGCAUCCAGUACUAGCUCAUGUGUAAAAUUGCUAUGGAUAAACGUUAUGAUGUGAUGUUUUUAUCGAGCUAAAGCACUACAUUUCUUUGCAACGCAAGUUCUAUUGAAGAGAUCCGUUUGUAUAUAUGUCAGACCACCUUCUAAUUGCGCUUUAUAACCACUUAGUUUCCCUAAUAUAAUCCACUGUACGUAUGCGCCACUUUUCUGUGGUUGCUAUUUUUGCUCAAGUGUACAUGAUCAUACAGAUAGCACUCCAAACAAACCGAUCAAAACAACUCAUAUUUGAACUUUGGUGGUAUGGUUCGAAUGUAAUGUUGGCUAUAUCUACCUUCUGUUGCUUUUAUUAUGACAAACCUUCUAAUGUCAGCACCGGCACACGCAGCGUAGCGCGUGGCUCUUUCUAGUAGAUAGUAUAGCGAAAGUAGUAAGCACCUCCUGCUUCAUAUAGAGGUUAUAUUGAAUGGUUGGCAUGCAUAUAACUCUGCUCACUCUUUGGCAACUGGCUAGAAUACGUGCAAAACUUCAGCCACCGGAUAAUGGUGCAGACUCAUCUGCUUGUAAUGAAUUGAAUCACCUGCAGCUGGCAUCUGGUGAAUGAUAUGACAUCUGGAUUUUGGAGGCACCGUGGCACAUGUAUGGUGAUUGGAGG
rnacentral:lncRNA from 1 species